rnacentral:piRNA from 1 species
CUGCCAUGAAUCACAUUCCUGUG